rnacentral:lncRNA from 1 species
UCAGAUUCUCAAUCCUUCUUGAGAUACGUAUGCAGCAGGGUAGGGCCUGUGCGAGCAAUAACUCUUUCCUUUCCCUACUUUGAUUUUCUCUCUUUCGCAUCACAUAUAGGAAUUUUAUACACACACUUUAGACAUAAAUAGCAAGCGUGGAUCCUGUGGAGUACCACAGACAUGAAGGGGUGCGAUAACCUUCCCUUCACGUAACCGGCCCCCUUACUCGGUUUUCUUUGGUUCGAGACUUUGUUUUAUCCGUUCCCUC